rnacentral:rRNA from 1 species
AUUGAACGUUAGCGGGAUGCUUUACACAUGCAAGUCGAAAGAGUAGCGUACGGGUGAGUAAUAUUACGGACCGUGCCCACUAGCGGGGGAUAACUACUCGUAAGAGUUGCUACUAACGCAUUCCAAUGAAGCGGCCGCUAUGCGAUUAGCGAGUUGGUGGGGUAAAGGCUCACCAAGGCAACGUUCCAUAGCUGGUUUGAGAGGACGACCAGCCACACUGGGACAGAGACACGACCCAGACUCCUACGGGAGGCAGCAGUGGGGAAGUUUUGACAAGGAGGGAAACCCUGAUCCAGCCCUCCCGCGUGUAUGAGAAGGCCUUCGGGUUGUAAAGUACUUUUGGCAGAGAAGCGGUAUCUGCAGAAUAAGCACCGGCUAACUACGUGCCAGCAGCCGCAGUAAUAC